rnacentral:lncRNA from 1 species
GUUGGCACAUGUUGAUAAAAGUAUGUUUAUCUAUGUCUUAUCAGAGCUAGUUUUUCUUUCGGACCUCCAUUGAGACGAUCACUGAUGCAUGACCACCAGACAGCAUCUUGUAGUUAGAAUCUAGUCACCUUUGGGGCUAGCCACAGUCCGAUCAUGGCCAUAGUCAGAGGGAUUAAGAGAGUGAGAGUGGAAGGUCAAUCCUUGAUUAUCUGCAUAAUCUAUUUUGAGUAAUUAUAUAUUUUAAUUCUAUAUUAAUUGAUAUGACAUGUUUCUGUACUUAUUGAAAUCUUUUUAUGAAAAGAUCAUGCAAU